rnacentral:lncRNA from 1 species
AAGAGGAACUUUGAAAACUAUACAAAUACAUGGAAAUUAAACAAUAUGCUCCUGAUUGUCCAAUGUGCAAAUAAAGAAAUUAAGAGUAAAAUUUAGAGGUGUAUUAAAACAAUGAAAAUGGAAGAACAACAUACCAAAACCUAUGGGAUAUGGAAAAAGCAGUAUUAAGAGAAAAGUUUAUAGAAAUAAGCACCUACAUCAAUAUCCUAUGUGAUAAGUUGACGAAAUAUGUCAAUGUUCUAGGACUCUGCUUAGCUCUUUACCACUUAUUUCAUAGAAAGUGUGCUAUAGGGAAGCAGUUCUUUUUAACAAAUGUUUACAAGAUCUGGAACUACUUUGCCAGUUAGAGUGACUGAAAAUAAGAGUAGACAUAGUUAAAAAGCUGAAAGAGAGAAUUUUACUAAGAACCUUCAGGAAGUUGAUAUCAUUACUUUUUGUGUUUUUUUGCUAGUAGUUGAAACAAGGGGACAAAUAUGACAAAUCACACACUAAGCCACCUACAUGUCCGAAGCCCUAGGCAGUGUCCUUCAAGCCCUUAUAUGAUAUAGGCCUGUUCACACCCACUCAAUUAACUCUCUUAUCUCGCCCCUAUUUCUCUCCCCUUUGCACACUCUAUCCUCACUGCUUUUCUAAAAUGCCAAUACAUGUUUUCCUAAGCACUGGCUGGUCAGUUUGCUUAGUAUCUCCUCUCUCAGUAUCUACUGUUUGCCUAGUG